rnacentral:rRNA from 1 species
GAUGAACGCUGGCGGCGUGCCUAAUACAUGCAAGUCGAGCGAACGGACGAGAAGCUUGCUUCUCUGAUGUUUGCGGCGGACGGGUGUGUAACACGUGUAUAACCUACCUAUAAGACUGGGAUAACUUCGGGAAACCGGAUCUAAUACCGGAUGAUCUUUUGAACCGCAUGGUUCAAUAGUGAAAUACGGUCUUGCUGUCACUUAUAGAUGGAUCCGCGCUGCAUUAGCUAGUUGGUAAGGUAACGGCUUACCAAGGCAACGAUGCAUAGCCGACCUGAGAGGGUGGUAGGCCACACUGGAACUGAGACACGGUCCAGACUCCUACGGGAGGCAGCAGACGGGAAUCUGCCGCAAUGGGCGAAAGCCUGACGGAGCAACGCCGCGUGAGUGAUGAAGGUCUUGGGAUCGUAAAACUCUGUUAUUAGGGAAGAACAUAUGUGUAAGUAAAUGUGCACAUCUUGACGGUACCUAAUCAGAAAGCCACGGCUAACUACGUG